rnacentral:rRNA from 1 species
AUUGAACGCUGGCGGAAUGCUUUACACAUGCAAGUCGAGCGGCAGCGCGGGGCAACCUGGCGGCGAGCGGCGAACGGGUGAGUAAUGUAUCGGAACGUGUCCUGUAGUGGGGGAUAGCCCGGCGAAAGCCGGAUUAAUACCGCAUACGAUCUAUGGAUGAAAGCAGGGGAUCGCAAGACCUUGCGCUAUAGGAGCGGCCG